CCCACCUCAGCUUCCCAAAGUGCUAUAUUAGAGGCAUCAGCCACCACACCCAACCUGUGAUAAUUUUUAAAAAUUGAAAAAUUUCUGUGCUCUUAAAAGUCUUUUUUUCUUUUCUUUUUUCUUUUACCAAGUUUCACUCUGUUACCCGACUGCAAUGCUGUGACACCAUCUUGGCUCACUGCAACCUCUGCCUCCUGGCUUCAAGCAUUUCUUCUGCCUCAGCAACCUGAGUAGCUGGGACUAUAGAAAAGGUCUCACUCUGUUGGCCAGGCUGGAGUGAAGUGGCAUGAACGAGACUCAUGGCAGCCUUGAACUUCCAGACUCAAGGGAUCCUCCCACCUCAGCUUUGAGUAGCUGGGACCACAGGCACAUGCCCACACACCUGGCUAAUUUUUAGGUUUUUGUAAAGGCGGGGGUCUUGCCAUAUUUUCUGUGCAGAUAUGGAAAUUCUGGACUCAAGCACUCUGCUGCCUUCAGCCUUUCAAAGUGCUGGGAUUACAGGCGUGAACAUUAUACCACUGAUUGCCAAAGGAGACACGUUUCUUAAACGAUUUCCAGACGUUUAAGGGGAAGUAACGAGUGAGUUGAUUAGCAUUGGCAUUCAGAUAUAUCAGUUCCCAACGGAUGAACAAACUACUGCUCGAGUGAACUCCAAUUAUGAUAAGCUUCAGUAACAAUAUCUGACAGAUGGUAUAGAUGAGUUUUAACUAAAAUCCUGUAUGAAAGUUUUAUUUGUUGAUUUCAAAAAACUUUUGCUGAGAAUUGACACUUUGUAUACAGAUUUAUUUAGAUUAAAUUUAUACACCAUA